rnacentral:ncRNA from 13 species
GUCACGAUAGCUCAAUUGGUAGAGCAGCGGCAUAUUGAACCGAAGGUCGUGGGUUCGAAUCCCGCUCGUGACA